GACGAACCGUGCGAACGUUAUUCGGAAUUAUUGGGCGUAAAGGGUGCGUAGGCGGUUUGGUAAGUCUGAUGUGAAAUCUAUGGGCUCAACUCAUAGUCUGCAUCGGAAACUGCCGGGCUUGAGUGUGGGAGAGGUGAGUGGAAUUCCUGGUGUAGCGGUGAAAUGCGUAGAUAUCAGGAGGAACACCUGUGGCGAAAGCGGCUCACUGGACCAUAACUGACGCUGAGGCACGAAAGCUAGGGGAGCAAACAGG
rnacentral:rRNA from 1 species